GUCCUACGGGGGGCAGCAGUAGGGAAUUUUCGUCAAUGGGCGCAAGCCUGAACGAGCAAUGCAGCGUGAACGAGGAAGGUCUUCGGAUCGUAAAGUUCUGUUGAAGGGGAAAAAGAGCGGAGAGAGGAAAUGAACUCCGAUUGAUAUUACCAUUCGAGGAAGUCACGGCUAACUACGUGCCAGCAGCCGCGGUAAUACGUAGGUGGCGAGCGUUAUCCGGUAUGAUUGGGCGAAAAGGGUGCGUAGGCGGCCUGCUAAGUCUGGAGAGAAAGGUACCGCCACAACCGGUACCGGCUCU
rnacentral:rRNA from 1 species